rnacentral:rRNA from 1 species
UACGAAGGGGGCUAGCGUUGCUCGGAAUUACUGGGCGUAAAGGGCGCGUAGGCGGAUGUUUAAGUCAGCGGUGAAAGCCCAGGGCUCAACCUUGGAACUGCCAUUGAUACUGGACAUCUUGAGUACGGGAGAGGUGAGUGGAACUCCGAGUGUAGAGGUGAAAUUCGUAGAUAUUCGCAAGAACACCAGUGGCGAAGGCGGCUUACUGGUCCGGUUCUGACGCUGAGGCGCGAAAGCGUGGGGAGCAAACAGG